rnacentral:rRNA from 1 species
GACGAACGCUGGCGGCGUGCCUAACACAUGCAAGUCGAACGGGACCAGUCUUGGUGGCAACACUUUGGUUGGUUUAGUGGCGAACGGGUGAGUAACACGUGAGGAACCUGCCCCGGAGACCGGGAUAACAGGAGGAAACUUCUGCUAAUACUGGAUGUCCCCAUUGUGCCGCAUGGUGUGGUGGGGAAAUGGGUUUCCGCUUCGGGAGGGUCUCGCGGCCUAUCAGCUUGUUGGUGGGGUAAUGGCCUACCAAGGCGUCGACGGGUAGCUGGUCUGAGAGGACGAUCAGCCACACUGGGACUGAGACACGGCCCAGACUCCUACGGGAGGCAGCAGUGGGGAAUCUUGCGCAAUGGGCGGAAGCCUGACGCAGCAACGCCGCGUGCGGGAUGAAGGCCUCGGUUGUAACG